rnacentral:tRNA from 1 species
GGGUGUGUAGCUCAGUGGUAGAGCACAUGCUUAGCAUGCACAAGGUCCUGGGUUCAAUCCCCAAUACCUCCA